UACGGGGGGGGUAAGCGUUGUUCGGAAUUACUGGGCGUAAAGGGCUCGUAGGCGGCCAACUAAGUCAGACGUGAAAUCCCUCAGCUUAACUGGGGAACUGCGUCUGAUACUGGAUGGCUUGGAUCCGGGAGAGGGAUGCGGAAUUCCAGGUGUAGCGGUGAAAUGCGUAGAUAUCUGGAGGAACACCGGUGGCGAAGGCGGCGACCUGGUCCGAUACUGACGCUGAGGCGCGAAAGCGUGGGGAGCAAACAGG
rnacentral:rRNA from 1 species